rnacentral:rRNA from 1 species
CCUAUACUGCGAUGAAGCGGGAAAAGCUCAAAUUUAAAAUCUGAGGGUCUUUAUGGCCUUCCGAGUUGUAAUCUAGAGAAGUGCUAUCCGCGCUGGACCGUGUACAAGUCUCCUGGAACGGAGCGUCAUAGAGGGUGAGAAUCCCGUCUUUGACACGGACUACCAGGGCUUAUGUGAUACGCUCUCAAAGAGUCGAGUUGUUUGGGAAUGCAGCUCUAAAUGGGUGGUAAAUUCCAUCUAAAGCUAAAUAUUGGCGAGAGACCGAUAGCGAACAAGUACCGUGAGGGAAAGAUGAAAAGAACUUUGGAAAGAGAGUUAAAAAGUACGUGAAAUUGUUGAAAGGGAAACGCUUGAAGUCAGUCGCAUUGGCAAGGAAUCAACCUUGCUUUUGCUUGGUGUAUUUUCUGGUUAAUGGGUCAGCAUCAAUUUUGAUCGGUGGAAAAAGAUCAAGGAAUGUGGCAUCUUCGGAUGUGUUAUAGCCCUUGGUUGUAUACAUCGAUUGGGAUUGAGGAGCUCAGCACGCCGCAAGGCCGGGUUUUUAACCACGUACGUGCUUAGGAUGCUGGCAUAAUGGCUUUAAUCGACCCGUCUUGAAACACGGACCAAGGAGUCUAACAUGCACGCGAGUGUUUGGGUGGAAAACCCGAGCGCGUAAUGAAAGUGAAAAUUGAGAUCCCUGUCGUGGGGAGCAUCGAUGCCCGGACCAGAUCUUUUGUGACGGUUCCGCGGUUGAGCGUGUAUGCUGGGACCCGAAAGAUGGUGAACUAUGCCUGAAUAGGGUGAAGCCAGAGGAAACUCUGGUGGAGGC